AUCCAGCUGAAGGGUUGCAGAAAGGACGAAAAGCGCGUCCUGGAU
rnacentral:hammerhead_ribozyme from 1 species